ACCUACGGGGGGCAGCAGUGAGGAAUAUUGGUCAAUGGUCGGGAGACUGAACCAGCCAAGCCGCGUGAGGGAGGAAGGUACAGAGUAUCGUAAACCUCUUUUGUCAGGGAACAAAGGCGGGGACGUGUCCCCGGAUGAGUGUACCUGAAGAAAAAGCAUCGGCUAACUCCGUGCCAGCAGCCGCGGUAAUACGGAGGAUGCGAGCGUUAUCCGGAUUUAUUGGGUUUAAAGGGUGCGCAGGCGGUCUGUUAAGUCAGCGGUCAAAGCCCGGGGCUCAACCCCGGCCCGCCCUUGAAACUGGCAGG
rnacentral:rRNA from 1 species